rnacentral:misc_RNA from 1 species
AACGCACCUUGCGCCCCUUGGUAUUCCGAGGGGCAUGCCUGUUUGAGUGUCAUUAAAUUAUCAACUCGAAAAUCUUGCAUUUUCGAUGUUUGGAAUUGGAGCGUGCGGGGCCCUACUAGGCUCUGCUCCUCUUGAAAUGCAUUAGUGGAACUUCUGAUUGCAGACCUGCUCCAGCGUGAUAAUUAUCUACGUUGCAGUAGCGAAGUCGGAGGAUCUGCUUACAACCGUCGCAUAUAUGCGCGACAAACCUCAUGACAAUUUGACCUCAAAUCAGGUAGGAUUACCCGCUGAACUUAA